rnacentral:rRNA from 1 species
GACGAACGCUGGCGGCAUGCCUAAUACAUGCAAGUCGAGCGAACAGAUGAAGUGCUUGCACUUCUGACGUUAGCGGCGAACGGGUGAGUAACACGUAAGGAAUCUACCUAUAAGCGGGGGAUAACAUUCGGAAACGGGUGCUAAUACCGCAUAAUAUCUUCUUCCGCAUGGAAGAAGAUUGAAAGACGGCUCUGCUGUCACUUAUAGAUGACCUUGCGGUGCAUUAGUUAGUUGGUGGGGUAAUGGCCUACCAAGACGAUGAUGCAUAGCCGACCUGAGAGGGUGAGCGGCCACAUUGGGACUGAGACACGGCCCAAACUCCUACGGGAGGCAGCAGUAGGGAAUCUUCCGCAAUGGGCGAAAGCCUGACGGAGCAAUGCCGCGUGAGUGAAGAAGGCCUUCGGGUCGUAAAACUCUGUUAUAAGAGAAGAACAAAUUGUAGAGUAACUGCUACAGUCUUGACGGUGUCUUAUCAGAAAGCCACGGCUAACUACGUGCCAGCAGCCGCGGUAA